rnacentral:lncRNA from 1 species
GGGGGUGGGGGGCGAGGGCGAGAGAAAGAGAAAGGGGAAGGGCGGUGGUCCGAUGGUAGCACUGGUGGUAACAGUCGUAGGAUCAACAACAGGUGGUAAUGGCAGUGGGUGAUUGGAAGGGCGAAAGAAAAUGAAAUGGGAUGGUUUAGACCAAAAACAGGUGAGUUGAGAAAGGCUCAGCGCUUAGUUCAGCCUCGACUCACUCACCAAUGACCAAGUUUCCAUCGUGAGCUGCAAGGAUCAGGGAAAGAAGGCCGGACAUGCAAGAUGGAGAGUGAGAGAGAUACCCCUCUAUUUGGGAACAGAGGAAGGAGCCAGCAAUUAGAAU